UACACAAAUCAAAAAUUGGGAGUCCUAUGGGACUUUGAAUUUUCCAAAAUAUGAAUCCAAAAUUUUUUCCUUAGUCUACUGAAAACUAUGCCACUUGAAAUGAUACGAAAACAUGUCGAUAUUGAGAGCAUCGAUAAACGCCUGUAUCAAAAAUUUGACACCAUUAGACCUACAUAAGUACUAAAAAAAAAGCACAACCGAAUCUACCGGCCUCCGGAAGUAUUUUCCUUAUCGUUCGAACAGUGAUUCAUGAAUUUAAUCUACUUAUCUAGCAAACGAAUCAUUCAUCGAGUUAACUCGAUGAUGAAAAAUGUGUUUUUUUUUCAAUGUGCUAUGAAUUCUAUCAUUUUCAUUUGUACAUCGCUUUUGUUUGUAUUCGCAGAAAAUGCGCCCACGAGCACAAGCACGAGUGAUUCGAAUUCAUGUCAAGAACGCGACGUUACAGAAGCGAUAAAUGGCUACUUUUCAGUUAUUUUUAAAGUCCUUAGCGAAACCAUACAAAACAGUUCGAAUCCUCCGAAUAAUGUAAAUUACUACCCCAUGAUACAAAGUGAAAAUGGAUUACUUCAUAACGUAACAGCACGAGUACAGCAAUCGUCACCAGCGAAAUUUCAAUUCAUAUAUGGCGACGUUUUCGAAGUACGUACAGUUUUCGAGAACGCAUUAGUAACUGUGAAAGGCUACCUUCGAUCAUCAAAUAAUUCAAUUGCAACUGAAUCGUUCCUCUUGAAUUUAUACGAAACUGCAUCAGAAGGGCCCAACAACUCGACCAUAGAUUACCACGAUAUAGAUCAACAAAACAUCAAACUACUCACCAAUGACCACACACUCGAACCAAGCACAGAAAACCAACUCGUAAAAGAAUUCAAAUCACUCCUGAAAUCAUCACUCCUCAAACUUUCAUCUGGCACAAAUGAAACAGCGGUCAAAAUGAAGGAAGUUUUUUCAAAAACACCCGGUUUCAAUACUUUUUUACAACACAAUACGCAAAAGCAUUAUUACUUUAUAAACAGUAUUCCAUCUAUUGACUUGAGAAAUGUAAGCAUCAAAGGAUUAUGGAAUAUACAUAACAUCACUGCUGAACCUUACAAUCCGGAACCUCUCGUCAAUAUUCAAAUGAGCGGUGUGCAAGGAACCAUGAUGCAGACCAUUUCCUCGAAGAAUGGGAAACCUACCCGAUUGAGUUUCAACGCCGACAGUAUUAGCGUUUUGGGUUAUCAGAAUCCUGACAAAAACAGUUUCAAAUUAGAAAGGUAUUCGGUUGCGGAGACUGAAUCCAACAAGCCUUUAUCCAAUGACCAGUCCGAAUUGAUUAUCGAGAGAAUUGAAUCAGUUAUUAUGAUUUCAAUAAGAGAAUCAGCGAAAAACGCCACUGUAGUAGAAAAAUAUUCGCAAAUUUGUGGAUUAUAAUUCACAUCGAGAAAAUAAAAAACAAAAAACAUCAAUAUCAAUCUCCAAUCGAUUAUUUUUAAAAAUCUAUUCGGUGUUUCAAAGGUAGAUAAGGUUAUGAAAAUUUUUCUACGUUAUUUCCUAUACUUACUCGUGUUGUUGAGAAAUUGUUAAAGUUUCCAAUAAAAAUUAAUGGAUUUGCCAAAUAUCUCAUUAAUCGAUAAAAAAAAGUUACAAACUACGUUCUUAGCCUACACCUACAGCGAUAAAUUAUAGAUAGAUAACGAAAAAAAAAAAAAAAAACGAAUGUUCUCACUAACAUGAGAAGCAAUUACGAUAAUGCCUAAUUUAAUGUGCUUGUUUCAUGAUUCAAACAAAUGCCCAUUUCGAUAGAUAACGUUAUUUAGAAAUUUUCGCACUGAAAAGUAGGUACAUAAAUAAGUACGUGAUCUCCUUUACCUGACGAAACAUUCAAAAAGUUUCUUUCAAAAGGUGUAAAUUUUUCUAAUUUUCAACGUGAAAAAAACAUGAAGUUUAUAAUAGUGCACAUCUUUUGCGCUAUACUGCUGUUCGUAUGCACAGAAAAUGCACCUACGAACACGAGUCAACCCACAUCUCUUCAGGAUAACGAUGUCACACAAGAUAUAAAUAUUUACAUUUCGACAAUUCUUCAACACGCCAGCAAUUUCAAUAUAUCAGAUUACAAUACGACCGAACUGUUUGAGAAAAAUAGCAAGGACGAAUUAUUACACAACGUUACAAUAAUAAUCGAAAAGUUGCCAUCGACACAAUUUCGAGUCAAAUAUGAGUACGCCAGUGACGUUUUCGAGAUGAUAUGGGAAAAUGUAGCGGUAUCUUUUGAAGGCUGUCUUCAAAAUUCAAAUGAUUGUUUCGCAACUGAACAGUUUCUCUUAAAUUCAACUUUUUUUGCACCAAAAUGGUCAAAUAACGCGACCACUGACCACUACAUCAACCAACAAAACAUCAAACUAAUCACCAAAGACCAUAAAUAUGAACCAGAUAAAGAACUCCAGAUAAAAGAAAAAAUCAAACAACACAUGAAGACAACAUUCGAACUCAGAACAAGAACUCAAAAUGACGAUGCAUUUAAAACCAUAUUUUUCAAACCUUUCGGUUUCGGUGUGUUUCCACAACACACCCAAAACCAUUUUUACUCCAUAAAAGAGAUCUCAAUCCUAUCAAAUGAAUCCUUCUUGAGAAAAGUAAACAUCGCAGGAUUAUGGAACAUAGAGAACUUCACGAUAGACGUUUUCAACACAUCCGGCGAUUUUCUCAAAAUGCAAAUGAGCCCAGUGCACGGAACCAUGGUACAGACUUUCUCGGAAAAAGGUUCAUCUCGAAGGGAAUUGAGUUUCGACGCAGAAAACGUCAGUGUUUCGACGGAUUACAAAAGUGACAAGAUUAAUUUUAAAUUUGGACGUUAUUCGGUUACGAAUACCGAAUCCAAUCAGACGUUAUCGAAUAAUGAGUCUGAAAUUAUUAUCCGAGCAAUUGAAUCGGAUAUCGCGAAAUCGCUUGAAUUAUAUUCCAAGUGUUUGCGUUUAUUAGUCGAGAAGAAAAUACCGAUGCUCAAAACAGGUACUCUCAAGGAGCAAGUUUUAGACCAUACAGAAGGUACAAUGUCUAAGGAACAAACACAUUUAAAUACAUGCAAAACAUUGUAUCUCACAAAGCCAUAACAUGCACUGGCCAAUAGACAUACACACGAUAAUUGAGCAGUUUUCGAUUCUCCUGAUGUGGAACGCUUUCUUCAAAGAAGAAAAAAAUUAAUAUUGAUUCAGUUGACAAUGCUCUUGUUUUAGAUGACUCAUUCUGUAAUGAAAUAAAAACCUUCGUGAAAUGCGAUUGAUUAUUUUAUUUGUAAAUUUUUAAAUACGCUCCUUGAAAUCGACCCAGACACCUCAAAUGAUUCCAUUAUUAACAGUAAAAUUAAUCAAACCAAACUACCAUUUUGCUCUCGAUUAAUUACAUCAUAAUUAAAUUCACAUUGAAUUUCUAAAUAUUUGUUCUUGACGCAGGCGCGUAAAAAAUGAUAACAGCGAUUUACUAAACCAACACAGAAAAAUUGAAUGAAACUAUUUUCAAAAAUAAAUUGGGCAUUUAUUAUCAAAACCAUGAACUGUGUACCUUUUCAUACUGAUGAUAAGAAAAAAAACAACAUUGAAAUUAAAACACGCGCGUGAAAUAUCAGCUCAGCCUCAUUCGUUAAGAUCAUUUUGUUGUGAAAAGUGUGCAUUUUAGGUGCAGUUGCUAUGAAUUUCACACCGUGGAUAAUUUUUAUGAUCUGGUUUUCAUUCGCAGAAAAUACUCCCAUAAUCGAAACCAUUUCUCCUGAACAAGGCAUCGAUAUAACGACAAAUGUGACAAAAUAUUUAACCGAAACCUUGGCCAAGUUGAAGACAAAUUACUUCGAACCUGAAGGUGAACCAGCAUGGCCAAUGAAUACGAAGGAUCGCCAAUACACUCAUAUUCAUACACAUACUUUCGAUGAUGUUCGAGAAACUCCUGUUCAAAAUAUUACAAUGGAAUUCAAUUUGUUGCAAUUUCCAAAAUUCCAGAUACUCUUCACACCUGUCAAUAGUCCAUCAGAAAUGGAUAUUUUUUUCGAAGUAGGAUCAAUAUCAUUAAAAGCAUAUCUGGGCCAUUCUGAUCAAUACAUUGCAAGUGAAGUCAAUCCAUUCAACGUCAAGAUCAAGACAUCACUAUACGAGCCUCGUAAUUACAGAACAGAAAUUCAAAAUCUCGACCAAAUUGAGUUCAAACCACUCAAUCCACAAUACCAAUUAAAACCAGCCGAAGAAACCCGAGCAAAACAGAUAAUCACAACUUACAUGAAGAAAUCAGCCUACGACAUGGUUAACAGACCAGUGAUGAAAGCUUACAUAUACGUAUACUUGGAAAAUAUGAUUACCACCAAGAGUUACAGGCAAUAUAACUCGAACAAAGCCAUCGCCCUCGCAAAUUACAACUCAUUUCACUCCAUCACAUCGGAAAAAACUCAACAGGACGUAUUCUACUACUACACAGGCAACGUUUCAUCGACAGAAGGCACAUUGACCAACAUAACUAUCACCAGUUCGUGGAACAUACGCGGUAUUUCGAUGGAUAGCUCAAAUUUGACGAAAUUUUUCACAAUACAAUUCGCCAAUGUGCGAGGAACAUUGACGAAAUGUUGCUCUUGUUCGCGAAAUAAAAUUCGUUCGGAGCUGGUUUUCGAGGCAGAUCGUGUUAACGCCGUAGCAGACAUGAAGGUUGGCAAAAUGAAGAUUAAAUUUGAAGAUUAUUCGCUAACUGAUGCGAAAUCCAAUACGAGGUUGGAUGAAGAGCAAUCUAAAUCGAUCGUGGAGAGCAUCGAAUCGGCCAUUGAGACUUUAAUUGCAGGAAGUCCGUGUACUGAAAGACUGUCUGAAGAAAAGAAGAUUACGAUGCCCGAGAUUGAUUUCGAGAAAAUUUUUAAUUUUUCUACCAAACUCAUUACGAAAUUUUUCACAGGAAUUGGAUUUUUUUUACCAUGAUUAAUAUGUAUUUACUAUGUAUGUAUUUGUACAAUACAAGAAGUAGAAUUAUUUUUAAAA